CCCUAACCCUAACCCAGAAGUUUGCAGAACUCUUACCCUGAUGAUAGCAUCAAACAAGAUGCCAGCCUACAGGUGACAGGCUCUCAGGCUGCUGUUGAUGGUGGGCUGCUUGAACCAGCCAGAAGUUUGCAGAACUCUUACCCUGAUGAUAGCAUCAAACAAGAUGCCAGCCUACAGGUGACAGGCUCUCAGGCUGCUGUUGAUGGUGGGCUGCUUGAACCAGCCAGAAGUUUGCAGAACUCUUACCCUGAUGAUAGCAUCAAACAAGAUGCCAGCCUACAGGUGACAGGCUCUCAGGCUCUUGUUGAUGGUGCGCUGCUUGAACCAGCCAGAACUUUGCAGGACUCUUACCCUGAUGAUAGCAUCAAA